CCUACGGGAGUCAGCAGUGGGGGAUAUUGCACAAUGGGGGGAACCCUGAUGCAGCGACGCCGCGUGGGUGAAGAAGCGCCUCGGCGCGUAAAGCCCUGUCAGCAGGUAAGAAAAUGACGGUACCUGAAGAAGAAGCCCCGGCUAACUACGUGCCAGCAGCCGCGGUAAUACGUAGGGGGCAAGCGUUAUCCGGAUUUACUGGGUGUAAAGGGGGCGCAGACGGCGAUGCAAGCCAGGAGUGAAAGCCCGGGGACCAACCCCGGGACUGCUCUUGGAACUGCGUGGCUGGAGUGCAGGAGGGGCAGGCGGAAUUCCUGGUGUAGCGGUGAAAUGCGUAGAUAUCAGGAGGAACACCGGUGGCGAAGGCGGCCUGCUGGACUGCAACUGACGUUGAGGCCCGAAAGCGUGGGGAGCAAACAGGAUUAGAUACCCUUGUAGUC
rnacentral:rRNA from 1 species